rnacentral:sRNA from 1 species
UAGAUGGUGAAACGUUUUAGCAAAAGGA